AGAGUUUGAUCCUGGCUCAGAUUGAACGCUGGCGGCAGGCCUAACACAUGCAAGUCGAGCGGAUGACGGGAGCUUGCUCCUUGAUUCAGCGGCGGACGGGUGAGUAAUGCCUAGGAAUCUGCCUGGUAGUGGGGGACAACGUUUCGAAAGGAACGCUAAUACCGCAUACGUCCUACGGGAGAAAGCAGGGGACCUUCGGGCCUUGCGCUAUCAGAUGAGCCUAGGUCGGAUUAGCUAGUUGGUGGGGUAAUGGCUCACCAAGGCGACGAUCCGUAACUGGUCUGAGAGGAUGAUCAGUCACACUGGAACUGAGACACGGUCCAGACUCCUACGGGAGGCAGCAGUGGGGAAUAUUGGACAAUGGGCGAAAGCCUGAUCCAGCCAUGCCGCGUGUGUGAAGAAGGUCUUCGGAUUGUAAAGCACUUUAAGUUGGGAGGAAGGGCAGUAAGCUAAUACCUUGCUGUUUUGACGUUACCGACAGAAUAAGCACCGGCUAACUCUGUGCCAGCAGCCGCGGUAAUACAGAGGGUGCAAGCGUUAAUCGGAAUUACUGGGCGUAAAGCGCGCGUAGGUGGUUCGUUAAGUUGGAUGUGAAAGCCCCGGGCUCAACCUGGGAACUGCAUCCAAAACUGGCGAGCUAGAGUACGGUAGAGGGUGGUGGAAUUUCCUGUGUAGCGGUGAAAUGCGUANAANAUAGGAAGGAACACCAGUGGCGAAGGCGACCNCNNGCACUGAUA
rnacentral:rRNA from 1 species